rnacentral:rRNA from 1 species
UACGUAGGGUGCGAGCGUUUGUCCGGAAUUAUUGGGCGUAAAGAGCUUGUAGGCGGUUUGUCGCGUCUGCUGUGAAAAUCCGGGGCUCAACCCCGGACUUGCAGUGGGUACGGGCAGGCUAGAGUGUGGUAGGGGAGACUGGAAUUCCUGGUGUAGCGGUGGAAUGCGCAGAUAUCAGGAGGAACACCGGUGGCGAAGGCGGGUCUCUGGGCCGUAACUGACGCUGAGGAGCGAAAGCGUGGGGAGCGAACAGG